rnacentral:lncRNA from 1 species
AAGUUACCGCCGCUGCUGCAAUUGGGAGACCGUGUUAUGAAGAAGCAACAACAUAAGUUAGAGAUAUAGGAGAGAAGGAAGUCGCACUUUCAAAAGGAAGAAACGUUGUUUUAGUUAAGAGAGUUCUAUAUAAUUGAGAGAGAGAAAGGAAAUAGCAUCGAAAAUAUUUUACUCUGUAAUCUGACAGUUAUUCUGUUACAUUCUAUCGAUUCCAAUUUCAUCUUCAUCUUCUUCAUUUCUCACCCACACUUCACACGUGCACCGCCAUUGUCGUCUCUGUAAAUCUCCUGCAGGUUCCAUUGUUUGUGUCAAGUUUGAGCAGAGAAUGGGAGUGCGAGUAGGAUCCGGCGAACGGCCGCCGCUGUUUCUGCAAAUCCGGCGACUGAUUGUCGCCGUUCUCCCACUCAAUUGCUCUCUUAAUCGAAUGAAGGGAUGGGGAGAGAAAGCCCAAACUACCUUUCCUCGCCUCGCCUCCUUCUCUCCACCGUGAUUAGACCGCCGUAGCUUCUAUACUCUUAUACAGGCGAGACAACAAGAGUUGUGCGUCGUCGUUCUCUCGGUUGGACUGAACAAGGCAGCUGGCCCUCCUCCAACAAAAGCUAAGUUCUUAUUCUAACUCCACUGCGAAAUCCGCCCUAUCUAUUUGUAUUGCGUGUGCAAAGUCUUGUUGAGCUACUGUAAUAUAUAUGGUUCCUCCUGUUGAGCUGCUAUUCUAUUUCGACUUUGUGUUUGCUUUAUGCAGUUCAAGCUUGUUGGAGAAACAGAUCGAAACCAAGAAAAUUAAGAGCACAACAAGUUUACGUGGUUCGGCCAUUGGCCUACGUCCACGGAGGGUAAAGAGUAACUUUUAUUAUUCACUCGCCGGAGAAA